rnacentral:rRNA from 1 species
AGCGAACGCUGGCGGCAGGCCUAACACAUGCAAGUCGAGCGCCCCGCAAGGGGAGCGGCAGACGGGAGAGUAACACGUGGGAACGUACCCUUUAGUUCGGAACAACCCAGGGAAACUUGGGCUAAUACCGGAUACGUCCGUAAGGAGAAAGAUUUAUCGCUAAAGGAUCGGCCCGCGUCUGAUUAGCUAGUUGGUGAGGUAAUGGCUCACCAAGGCGACGAUCAGUAGCUGGUCUGAGAGGAUGAUCAGCCUCACUGGGACUGAGACACGGCCCAGACUCCUACGGGAGGCAGCAGUGGGGAAUAUUGGACAAUGGGCGAAAGCCUGACGCAGCGACGCCGCGUGAGGGAUGAAGGCCCUCGGGUUGUAAACCUCUUUCGGCAGGGACGAAGCGAAAGUGACGGUACCUGCAGAAGAAGCCCCGGCUAACUACGUGCCAGCAGCCGCCGUAAGAC